GACGAACGCUGGCGGCGUGCUUAACACAUGCAAGUCGAACGGAAAGGCCCUGCUUUUGUUGGGUGCUCGAGUGGCGAACGGGUGAGUAACACGUGAGUAACCUGCCCUUGUCUUUGGGAUAACUUCAGGAAACUGGGGCUAAUACCGGAUAGGAGCUCCUGCUGCAUGGUGGGGGUUGGAAAGUUUCGGCGGUUGGGGAUGGACUCGCGGCUUAUCAGCUUGUUGGUGGGGUAGUGGCUUACCAAGGCUUUGACGGGUAGCCGGCCUGAGAGGGUGACCGGCCACAUUGGGACUGAGAUACGGACCAGACUGCUACGGGAGGCAGCAGUGGGGAGUAUUGCACAAUGGGCGGAAGCCUGAUGCAGCAACGCCGCGUGCGGGAUGACGGCCUUCGGGUUGUAAACCGCUUUCGCCUGUGACGAAGCGUGAGUGACGGUAAUUGUUAAUUAAGCACCGGCUAACUACGUG
rnacentral:rRNA from 1 species